rnacentral:rRNA from 1 species
CCUACGGGUGGCUGCAGUAGGGAAUUUUCGUCAAUGGACGCAAGCCUGAACGAGCAAUGCCGCGUGAACGAGGAAGGUCUUAGGAUCGGAAAGUUCUGUUGAAGGGGGAAAAGAACGGGGAGAGUGAAUGCUUUCUGAUUUAUAUUACCCUUCGAGGAAGUCACGGCUAACUACGUGCCAGCAGCCACGGUAAUACGUAGGUGGCGAGCGUUAUCCGGAAUGAUUGGGAGUAAAGGGUGCGUAGGCGGCAUGCUAAGUCUGGAGUGAAAGGUACCGGCUCAACCGGUACAGGCUCUGGAAACUGGCGGGGUAGAGGGAAGGAGAGGGCGGGGGAAAUCCAUGGGUAGCGGUAAAAUGCGUAGAUAUAUGGAAGAACACCAGUGGGGAAGGCGGGCGUAUGG